CGCAAUGCUCUUCUGAAAUGCUAGCUUC
rnacentral:piRNA from 1 species